UACAGGGGGGGCAAGCGUUGUUCGGAAUUACUGGGCGUAAAGGGUUCGUAGGUGGCCAACUAAGUCAGACGUGAAAUCCCUCAGCUUAACUGGGGAACUGCGUCUGAUACUGGAUGGCUUGAGUGUAGGAGAGGAAUGCGGAAUUCCAGGUGUAGCGGUGAAAUGCGUAGAUAUCGCUUGGAACGCCGACGGUGAAAACAGCUCGCUGGGGGUCUUCUGACGCUGAGACACGAAAGCCAGGGGAGCGAACGGG
rnacentral:rRNA from 1 species